CCGGCGUAUUGGAACCUCUCUCGCGAUCCCGCACCCAGCUUGAAUUCAGCGAGAAUCGAAAACAGUCCAACAACCAUCGUAUCUACAGCAAUCCUUAGAGAACAAUUAAGGCCAGCUGACAGUAAAGAACAGUCAGUGUGUACUUGAAAUCCAGGCUGAGACAGCAUUGGUCUUCUGGCAGCUGCAAGACUGACCUAUCAACUGAGGCAUUUCUUCAUUCCUUGCCAUUGUCUCCUCCUCUUGAGAUCGCCAUCAGGCCCAGCCACUUUUCUACAAACAGGCAAUAGGACUCCCGCUGCCACCCUGCCCAGAUUUUAGUCCUCUAUUGCUGAUAAAGUGAGCAAAGAUAUGUGGCACUUCCUGAACUCAAAUACUCUUCUGAGCUGAUUCUAAAUCCAAACAGAAUCAACCUACCUCCUAUUACCUCCCUCUAAGCUCUGUGCUCCAUUCUCUCAUUUCAGUCUCAGCUCCAGACAUCAGCAAAUUCAAUGUGAUACAUCAGGUGCCAUCACAGGACUUCCCUACUUGAAAAUCAAGCAAUCGUGUCCCUGAAACACACUGUCUUUAUUCAUGCUCAAUUACCAUAAAGUAGAUGCAACUCUAAGAACCUAUGGAUUUUUUUAUUGACACUAAUAGAUCAUGAUUUACAGCAAAAUUUUAAAAGGUCCAAUUUUACUCACAUAAGAAACAAGAAGAAAACAUUCAGCAAGAAGCAUUUCUUUUGCUUGAUCUUUCCCAGCUAAAUAUGACUUUGAAAAAGAAGAGCACGCCUCAUUAGCCGUAAUUGUCUGAUUAAUACAAAGAAAUGGACUCAUAUCACGGGGUUCCACUACCCCUAUGGUAGUGUUUACUACCCUUAUUUCACUCAAUGAUUACAGUUACUUUGACCAGAAUGCCUACCUUGUUUGGCAUUUUGGGAGAGGAAGCAUAUGACUGUAAACCCUCUUCAAACUUUCAGACUUACGUUUGCUUCUUCUAAGUCCAUCGACUUUAUACAUAAAUGACUUCUUUUUAAAAAUAAAUAAAUAAAUAAA
rnacentral:antisense_RNA from 1 species